GAUGAACGCUGGCGGCGUGCCUAAUACAUGCAAGUCGAGCGAAUGGAUUAAGAGCUUGCUCUUAUGAAGUUAGCGGCGGACGGGUGAGUAACACGUGGGUAACCUGCCCAUAAGACUGGGAUAACUCCGGGAAACCGGGGCUAAUACCGGAUAACAUUUUGAACCGCAUGGUUCGAAAUUGAAAGGCGGCUUCGGCUAUCACUUAUGGAUGGACCCGCGUCGCAUUAGCUAGUUGGUGAGGUAACGGCUCACCAAGUCAACGAUGCGUAGCCGACCUGAGAGGGUGAUCGGCCACACUGGGACUGAGACACGGCCCAGACUCCUACGGGAGGCAGCAGUAGGGAAUCUUCCGCAAUGGACGAAAGUCUGACGGAGUAACGCCGCGUGAGUGAUGAAGGCUUUCGGGUCGUAAAACUCUGUUGUUAGGGAAGAACAAGUGCUAGUUGAAUAAGCUGGCACCUUGACGGUACCUAACCAGAAAGCCACGGCUAACUACGUGCCAGCCGCCGCAGUAA
rnacentral:rRNA from 1 species